rnacentral:tRNA from 1 species
GACUGGAUAGCCUAGCAAUAAAGGCAUCACAUUGACAAUGCUGAGGUCCCAGGUUCAAAUCCUGGUCUAGUCA